UGAAAAACCAACCCUAUCGCUGCCAUUUGACUCUGUGGAUAACUGAUUCUCUUUACUCAAUGGUCUUUAUGUUAGGAGAAGUACAGUGGAGACCAAAAUUUUACCCGUUUCUCAAGUUCUUUGAGUCUAAGAUUGAAAUUAAAUGUUGUGUAUGCUUAUAUUUAUGCCCAAUUUGACAUGCUCAGCGACGAAAUUCUGAAGCUUUAGUCUUUAUAAAGUCAUUUCAAGCAAGAGAUGAACAGCCUAUUAUGUAAUUGAUCCUAUUUGACGGUGAGAAGAAAGAAAAAGAGGCUUUGGAUGACUCUAUGGGUCAACUACAACUUGAGAAUGCCCCGCCUACUUUAAAGAAGAAGAAGAAGAAGAAAUGUCGCCGUACUUCCAAGUGUUCAGUUUGCCUUCGGAAGGGUUGUGACCAAAGUAUGUGCCCCUAUGGGUCUAGGAUCCCGCCUGGCGUGACUCUGGUUGGUGAGGGCUAUGAACUAGCUUGUAGGCGCUGUAUUCGCAAGGAUAAUAUGUGUGGGCACAAUAUGUCAUUUGCUCUGCCAUUUGCUGUGUUAAUUGUAAUGACUAUGGCCACCGUGUUCUUGACUGCCCGAUGCCAAAUAUGAUAACAUUGAUUCCAGGCUAGACGUAGACGAAGUGACUUACCACCUGCCCGUAUCGCACAAGUCAUACGACUCAUCCAUUGUUUAGUAAUGACUGCAUAUGAGCCUGCUGAAGCUGAGGAUUUCCUGGAGUUUUGCUUAAUUUUCUCUUUAUUAUUUUAGUUGUAUGUUGUGAAUGCUUCAGUAGUUACAUAUAAUGCAUACAUGGUAUA